CGUAGGGUGCGAGCGCUAAUCGGAAUUACUGGGCGUAAAGCGUGCGCAGGCGGUUUGUUAAGAUAGGCGUGAAAUCCCCGGGCUCAACCUGGGAACUGCGCUUAUGACUGGCAAGCUAGAGUACGGCAGAGGGGGGUGGAAUUCCACGUGUAGCAGUGAAAUGCGUAGAGAUGUGGAGGAACACCAAUGGCGAAGGCAGCCCCCUGGGUCGAUACUGACGCUCAUGCACGAAAGCGUGGGUAGCAAACAGGAUUAGAUACCCUGGUAGUCCACGCCCUAAACGAUGUCAACUAGGUGUUGGGAGGGUAAAACCUUUUAGUACCGGAGCUAACGCGUGAAGUUGACCGCCUGGGGAGUACGGCCGCAAGGUUA
rnacentral:rRNA from 1 species